rnacentral:rRNA from 1 species
GACGAACCGUGCGAACGUUGUUCGGAAUCACUGGGCUUAAAGGGCGCGUAGGCGGUCCAUCAAGUCGGGGGUGAAAUCUUUCGGCUCAACCGGAAAACUGCCUUCGAUACUGAUGGGCUAGAGGGAGGUAGGGGUUGCGGGAACUACCAGUGGAGCGGUGAAAUGCGUUGAUAUUGGUAGGAACGCCGGUGGCGAAAGCGCGCAACUGGACCUCUUCUGACGCUGAGGCGGGAAAGCUAGGGUAGCGAACGGG